AAACUUAAAUGAAUUGACGGGACCCGCACAAGCGGUGGAUGAUGUGGAUUAAUUCGAUGCAACGCGAAAAACCUUACCUACCCUUGACAUGUCUGGAAUCCCGAAGAGAUUUGGGAGUGCUCGCAAGAGAACCGGAACACAGGUGCUGCAUGGCUGUCGUCAGCUCGUGUCGUGAGAUGUUGGGUUAAGUCCCGCAACGAGCGCAACCCUUGUCAUUAGUUGCUACGAAAGGGCACUCUAAUGAGACUGCCGGUGACAAACCGGAGGAAGGGUGGGGAUGACGUCAAGUCCUCAUGGCCCUUAUGGGUAGGGCUUCACACGUCAUACAAUGGUCGGGACAGAGGGUCGCCAACCCGCGAGGGGGAGCCAAUCCCAGAAACCCGAUCGUAGUCCGGAUUGUAGUCUGCAACUCGACUACAUGAAGUCGGAAUCGCUAGUAAUCGCGGAUCAGCAUGUCGCGGUGAAUACGUUCCCGGGUCUU
rnacentral:rRNA from 1 species